UGGGCGGGUGGUGAAAUUGGCAGACACGACGGCCUCAAAAGCCGUUGGACUCACGUCCGUGGGGGUUCAAGUCCCCCCCCGCCCAA
rnacentral:tRNA from 1 species